UACGGGGGGGGCAAGCGUUGUUCGGAAUUACUGGGCGUAAAGGGCUCGUAGGUGGCCAACUAAGUCGGACGUGAAAUCCCCAGGCUCAACUUGGGAACUGCGUCCGAUACUGGAUGGCUUGAAUUCGGGAGAGGGAUGCAGAAUUCCAGGUGUAGCGGUGAAAUGCGUAGAUAUCUGGAGGAACACCGGUGGCGAAGGCGGCAUCCUGGACCAACACUGACGCUGAGGAGCGAAAGCCAGGGGAGCAAACGGG
rnacentral:rRNA from 1 species